UACGAAGGGGGCUAGCGUUGCUCGGAAUUACUGGGCGUAAAGCGCACGUAGGCGGCUUUCUAAGUCGGAGGUGAAAUCCUGGAGCUCAACUCCAGAACUGCCUUCGAUACUGGAGAGCUUGAGUCCGGGAGAGGUGAGUGGAACUGCGAGUGUAGAGGUGAAAUUCGUAGAUAUUCGCAAGAACACCAGUGGCGAAGGCGGCUCACUGGCCCGGUACUGACGCUGAGGAGCGAAAGCGUGGGGAGCAAACAGG
rnacentral:rRNA from 1 species